rnacentral:lncRNA from 1 species
AUGUGGUGGAUUUCCGGCAGGCCUUCUGUAGAGAGGGCUGGACACCUCCGCCAGGCAGUUGCCGACAUCUCAGCACGCAGCGGCUGGAGUGACAACCACCUUCAGAAAGGUCUGAGGACGAGCACUGCCACUGGAGUCCGUCCUCUAGCCGAUCAAGAGAACUGACAGCCAAGUCUUCCGAAGAAAAAUCCAGCCGCAGAGAACUCAAAGAUUUCUGCAACGUGGGAGCGGCUGAUUUCCUCCGGUCCUCUCAAAGCUCGCAGGGAGCUGUAACUUGCUGAAAAGUAUAGCCAUCUGGUCAGAAUCAUGCCACCGAAAAGCUGACUCCAAAUAAGCAGCUUCUGGAGCAAGCUAGGGAGAGCAAGGAACUGGGAAUGCAAUUUGGUCCAGUACCUGGUCUGAGGCUCGGACCAGGCAGAGUCCUCGAGAUUUGGUUGAGAAGAAGGUUUCGGGAACUCAGAAGUGCAGGCGUGUGAUCGCCCUAAGGAAGGGCAGCAUAAUCAGGAGCCCAUCCGAGAGGUAGGCGGCUUUGAGCCCUGUGUGUUCCCGUCUCCAUCUCCUUUCCUUGGCAACUUCACGGGCAGGAGUACGGAGCUCAGCGGCAUCAGAGCGAAGCCCACACCUCUUAAUAGUGUCACUCCCUGGUAGGAAAGCAUUAAAAUUGAUAUGUCUACAACUUUAUGGGCCUCUGAAGGGCAUUCUUAUUCAAACCAACACCCCCCC